AGGCCUGUGGCUCCUCCCCCAG
rnacentral:miRNA from 1 species